UGGUUCCGGCAACGAUGAAGAACGCAGCGAAAUGCGAUAAGUAAUGUGAAUUGCAGAAUUCCGCGAAUCAUCGAAUCUUUGAACGCACAUUGCGCCCGCCAGCAUCCUGGCGGGCAUGCCUGUCCGAGCGUCAUUUCAACCCUCGAGCCCCUGGGGCCCGGUGCUGGGACGCUGUGGCGACGCCCCCGGGCGCGCCGCAGGCCCCGAAAUACAGCGGCGGCGCCGCCCAGGCCCCCGAGCGAAGUAGCCAACAGCAGCGCUCAGGGAGGUCGGGCGGCCGCUAGCGCCUCGAAGCUGCGCCAGCGGCGCACACGCAAAGGUUGACCUCGGAUCAGGUAGGAGUACCCGCUGA
rnacentral:misc_RNA from 1 species